rnacentral:tRNA from 1 species
ACCUGGCUGGCUCAGUUGGAAGAGCACGCGACUCUUUGAUCUUGGGGUCAUGAGUUCAAGCCCCAUGUCAGGUA